rnacentral:rRNA from 1 species
GACCUCGGAUCAGGUAGGGAUACCCGCUGAACUUAAGCAUAUCAAUAAGCGGAGGAAAAGAAACCAACAGGGAUUGCCUUAGUAACGGCGAGUGAAGCGGCAAGAGCUCAAAUUUGAAAUCUGGCCUCCUUGGGGGUCCGAGUUGUAAUUUGGAGAGGAUGCUUCGGAUUCAGCCUCCAUCUAAGUGCCCUGGAACGGGCUGUCAUAGAGGGUGAGAAUCCCGUCUGGGAUGGAUGGCUGUACCCAUGUGAAGCUCCUUCAACGAGUCGAGUUGUUUGGGAAUGCAGCUCUAAAUGGGUGGUAAAUUUCAUCUAAAGCUAAAUAUUGGCCGGAGACCGAUAGCGCACAAGUAGAGUGAUCGAAAGAUGAAAAGCACUUUGAAAAGAGAGUGAAACAGCACGUGAAAUUGUUGAAAGGGAAGCGCUUGUGACCAGACUCACCUCGGGAGGCUCUACCGGUACCUGUACCGGUUCAUUCUUCUCUGGGUGGGCCAGCGUCGGUUUGGGCGGUUAGUUAAAGGCUUCCGGAAUGUAUCGCCCUCCGGGGCGUCUUAUAGCCGGGAGUGCCAUGCAACCAGCCCAGACCGAGGAACGCGCUUC